rnacentral:rRNA from 1 species
CCCUUAGAUGUCCGGGGCCGCACGAGCGCUACACUGAAGGAAUCAGCGUGGCUUUCUCCCUGACCCGAAAGGGUUGGGAAACCCGUUGAAUCUCCUUCGUGAUAGGGAUUGGGGCUUGAAAUUGUUCCCCAUGAACGAGGAAUUCCCAGUAAGCGCGAGUCAUAAGCUCGCGUUGAUUACGUCCCUGCCCUUUGUACACACCGCCCGUCGCUACUACCGAUUGAACGGUUUAGUGAGGGCCUCGGAUUGGUCUCGGCCCGCUCUUUACCGGGCGGCGCCGUUGGUCGAGAAGACGCUCGAACUUGAUCGUUUAGAGGAAGUAAAAGUCGUAACA